rnacentral:lncRNA from 1 species
CGAACGCCUUGCCAAGAGGUAAACUUGGUAGUUAUCUUUUUCCUUUUAAUUAUUUAAAAUAGUUUGCUUAGUUAAUCAGGUUCAUAUCAUCUUGAAAAGAAAAUAAAAAUGUUGAAAUAGUAAGCUCCAUGUGAGUAUGCUCAUGGCAUAAAACCCAUAAGUACAUUCACUGUGGUGGCAUAAAAAUGAAAUAAAUAUAUUCUUGUCCUAUAAAAAUAAAAUUAUGAUCCUACUAAAGACAGUAACAUUUAUUUAGGAGACUCAACAUGAUAAAGGCUAGAUAUUUAUGCUAACACUUAACCAGUUCCACAAAGUGUUGUUGUCUAUUUGAGCUCCACAGAAUUCAAGGAUCAAAGAAGACUAGCAGACGGAGGACAUCCUAAUGGCUGUCAGGGUACUGCCGACAUUCAAAUACACCUCUGUCAUCUGCUAGCUACAUCAGAAGAAAUUACGUCGAAAUCCAGCUUGGGGGAGAGCAUCCCCAUUUAUCCAGCUAAGUAUUCUACUCAGGUUUAUACUUUACUCUAAUAUGCUGAUAUAUAUAUCUUUGCUUAGUUUGAUAAAUAAAUAAAUAAAUAAAGUUUGCUAUGAACCCUCGUGAUAAGCUCUCACAUAGAAAUGAUGAAUAGUUGCUCUACCAUGACUAGUUCUCAAAAUUGAACUCUCUCUCAAGUUUAGGCAUGACUGUUAUUAAUUAAGAUUUGCUCUAAACCUGAACUUAUGGGGAGAGUACUUGAUCUAAAGUCUAAGUCAUUAACGGAUACGAUAUGGGAAGGUUGAGCUGCUGUUUAUCUGUUCCUAGAGAUGCUAGAAUUCUGGAGAAUUUUAUCUUUGAAAAUCUUUAAAAUAUCACAUGAUGAGUUCCUGUAUGAUGAGAGUUUAAAAUCCUACCAUAGCCAUAUAUACAUGCUUAUUAGACUAUGAACCAUACAUAUUUACUUUUGACUGCUUAUGAGCAUUGAGUGUGGUCAAGCUGUGUAGACCCUUAGGAGCUUGUCAUGUGGUUAAAAUCAAGAUUCACUUGCACGUUCACUCACACAUGCUGCUUCUACUCCGGAAGUACGCAUCCACAUAUAUCCACCCAUUUCCAUCUCCAGAACCAUCCAAAAAUAUUCUACUCCUAAUCUGGGAGAGAAUAGCCAAAAAUAUUUCUAUUUUUCCCCUGUGAAAAUAAAUGCUCAAGUUAUCUUGGUUACUACCACUUGCUACAUCAUCUCAUGAGAUGAGUGCUCUAAAAAAAGAAGAGAGAGAAAAAAAAAGUGAAUACGAGGAAAUAAAAAGGGGCAAGUGCCCGGAACCUCGAAGAAAAGAAAAAGUGAGACGAGAGGUAAAAAUGGACAAGUGUCCGACAGUAGAAUUAGGGGUACAAGAUACCCACCUGAGAGAAAAGAAAAAGAAAAUAUAGAGCAUCUCACUCUCCUCAAAAAGUUUCAAAAGAGCAAGAAAGGUAUGUAUCCCCUCAAAAGAGCACAAAUAGAAUUAGACUUUCACCAUUGUGUUCACCAUUAUCACCAUCAUCACCAUACACCAUUCAUUCGCCACACAUGGACAUCUUGAUUUGACUUAUUGACUUGUUCUUCUGGAUCCAUGGUUUGACUAUGCAAUAAAUGUCUUGUAAGUAUGUAUUAGCUGUCUCCCACCUAUGAGCUCCAGAUAUCAAAACCUUAUUAGAGUAGGGUGAGAGAGAAGGCAAUGUCACUAUGCCUCAUACGAAAAAUACCACAUACUUUGAGAGAAGGCAUACACCAUUACUGCCUUGGUAAGGAUCUAGAAAUACCACAAAAGAGAGACUAGAGAGAGUCAUACAAGGAAUCUCUGAGUUUUAUUUGAAAAUCUACAAAAACUCCAGAGCUAUAGUUAAUCGAAGAACAAGAGACAUGGCGCUUGAAUAGACCGUUCUAUCUUUUAACUACUCAAGACAGAAGUGACAGUUACAAGCCCCAUGGUGAAAGGUAAAAUGAGUAAGUUUAAAUCUUAACAAUUUACCCUAACCCAGAGAUGAGAUCUUGUUUGAACACAUGUGUACCUUUAAGGCAUGAAACCACUGCAGAAACUCUUGAGUUCAUCUUUGCUCAGGGACGAGCAAAGGUUAAACUUGGGGGAGCUUGUUGACGGUCCUUAAUGCUCAUAUUUAACCAUCAAUUAAUCAUGGAAAAGGAUCCAAAUGCAACCAACACCUAGACUUAGGGUUUUAUCUGACAGAAUUCCACGAGUUUUGGUGUUUGUCUAUUUCUGCAGGGGGUUAUCAGGAAAUACGGAAGAAAGGCCCACACGUCGGGUUUACAUAGAGAUAUUAACGUGCCGCGCAAUUUUCUAUCAUCUAGAAGACUCCAGAAGCCACGGGAACGAAUGGGAGGCCGAUCGGGCCCAGGGGCAGGGCGCCCGCCCUCCCUCCUUGGGCGCCCGCCCAGCUACAGGAACCAAUCAGCUUCAACUUCGCGGAUCGUGCUCCACCGACUCUAAGGAUUAAGGAAAAUCACACGAUUAAGGUCGGUUUGAUCGGAUGGUGGAGAAUAGCGUGGAAAUUCCUUGGGAGCUACUCUUCCUAGAUUUCUUGGGAGCUACUCUUCCUAGAUUUCUUGGGGGCUACUCUUCCUAGACUAUAUAAGCAGACCCCCACCAGCCCCUGGAGGCAUACCUCUUCUACAGAAUCAAAGCUAGGGUUUCAAUUCUUCAUCCAAGUAGAGAGGAUCCCUCUAGUUCUUCUAGUUCUAGUUCCUCUAGUUCUAGUUCUAGUUAGUUCUAGUUGUAAUAUAGAAAAUAGGGAGAGAGAAGAGGAGAGCGGAGGAGGAGCCGGAUCUGUCGGAUCUUCCUCAACAUUGUACUUUUGCAGCAACUGGUUCGUUCUUCGUCAUUCUCCAGGUUCUUCAAUUCAUAACUCCUGAGUUCUCUAAUUACUUUUAUUUACAUUCAAGUUAUUUAUUGGAUCCCCGCUUGCAUCAAGUGCUCUAGUAUUUAUAACGCUAGAGUAGUAAUUAAUAGAUUAGACGUGGUGUUUAGUCUCGCAAUUACCUGGAAUUGCACCCAAUCCUGCGGAUUGUUGUGGUAGCCCUAGGGUAGUGAUAGCCCUAACGGUCGUCGUAUUCCACCACGUUCGGAUCGGUGUUUGUAGGACCGUAGUCAGACCUUUCUAGCCCCCUUCUCAUCUCUUUCUGUGGUUAGUGCUCUGAUGUCCCAAAAUAGAUAAUCUUAAAGUAAUUCUUGAUUCUUAGAUCAACUAGAGAACUCUCAGGAAACAUCCUCUCUUUCCACCAAAAACAAUUAUAUAGUUAUCCUUGGGCGAUCUUGAUUCUUAAUUAGUACACUCACGUUCCCUGUGGAAAUCGAUACUCUGGAAUAUUCCCGGGUGAAGGCUACAUCGGUAUCCGUGCGCUUGCGGAUUUUUCUAUUUGCGUUUAAAAUACCCAACAACCGUUAAAGCAAUCAUCAACAUUGGAACCAGAGAAGUCCACAUGCACUUCCCCUCUGAGAAGGUACGCCGCUGUUUUUAUGACCCUAACUAUAUAGUUGAAGACUCCAAGCAGGUCAGGACAAGAAGAAGACGACGCAACUGCAACCAGAGAAGGCAAAUCAUCAAGGACGGAUGGGCAGACUAUGAAGGAGAAAUGGUAAGGUCUGAAGACAUACAGCUUGAACAGAACUGUCCUGAGGAGACCGUAGCACUGAGUCAGGUGUGGAGAGAGAAGAUAGUUAUACAUGAAGAGCAGGCGCCGCCGGAACCACCGACUACGCCACCCAGCGAAUUCCAGGACGACUGAGAAAAUAGAGAGUCCUGUUCGGAGGACUUAAAAACACCGAACGCGUUGCCAAGAGGUAAACUUGGUAGUUAUCCUUUUCCCUUCAAUUUUUUUGCUUAGUUAAUCAGGUUCAAAUCAUCUCGAAAAGAAAAUAAAAAUGUUAAAAAUAGUAAGCCCCAUGUGAGUAUGCUCAUGGUAUAAAACGCAUAAGUACAUUCACUGUGGUUGCGUAAAAAUAAAAUAAAUAUAUUCCUGUCUUAUAAAAAUGAAAAGAUAAAAAAUAAGAUUGUGAUCCUACUAAAGAGAGUGAUAUUUAUUAGAGGAAGCUCAACAUGAUAAAGGCAAGGAGAUUUUAUGCUAACACUUAACCAGUUCCAUAAAGCUUUGUUGUCUAUUUGAGCUUCACAGAAUUCAAGGAUCAAAGCAGACUAGCAGACGGAGGACAUCCUAAUCACUGUUAGGGUGCUGCCGACAUUCAAAUACACCUCUACGACCUGCUAGCUACAUGAGAAGAAAUUGCGUCAAAAUCCAGCUUGGGGGAGAGCACCCCCAUUUAUCCAACUAAGUAUUCUACUCACGUUUAUACUUUACUCUAAUAAUAAAAAGAUGCAUAAUCAUAUAAACCCAAAUAAAGAUUUUGUGCUUAUAUAUAUAUAUAUAUAUAUAUAUAUAUCUUUGCUUAGUUUGAUAAAUAAAUAAAUAAAUAAAGUUUGCUAUGAACCCUCAUGAUAAGCUCUCAUAUGGAAAUGAUCAAUAGUUGCUCUGCCAUGACUAGUUCUCAAAAUUGAAAUCUCUCUCAAGUUUAGACAUAACUGUUAUAAUUUAAAGUUUGCUCUAAACCUGAACUUGUGGGAAAAGUACUUGAUCUAAAGUCUAAGUCGUUAACAGAUACGAUAUGGGAAGGUUGAGCUGCUGUUUAUCUGUUCCUAGAGAUGCUAGAAUUCUAGAGAAUUUUAUCUUUGAAAAUGUUUAAAAUGUUGCAUGAUGAGUUCCUGUAUGAUGAGAGUUUAAAUUCCUACCACAGCCAUAUAUACAUGCUUGCUAGACUUUGAGCCACACAUUUACUUUACUACUUAUGAGCAUUGAGUGUGGUCAAGCUAUGUAGACCCUUAGGAGCUUGUCAUGUGGUUAAAAUCAAGAUUCACUUGCACGUUCACUCAUAUAUGCUGCUUCUACUCCGGAAGUACGCAUCCACAUACAUCCACUCAUUUCCAUCUCCAGAACCAUCCAUAAAUAUUCUACUCUUAAUCCGGGAGAGAAUAGCCAAAAACAUUCUCCUAUUUCUGUUUUCCCCUGUGAAAUAAAUGCUCAAGUUAUUUCGGCUACUACCACUUGCUACAUUAUUUCAAGAGAUGAGUGCUCUAAAAAAAGAGAGAAGAUACGAGGAAAUAAAUAGGGGCAAGUGCCCGGAACCUCGAAAGAAAGGAAAAAGUGAGACGAGAGGUAAAAAUGGACAAGUGUCCGACAGUAGAAUUAGGGGUACAAGAUACCCACCUGAGAGAUAAGAAAAAGAAAAUAUAGAGCAUCUCAUUCUCCUCAAAAAGUUUCAAAAGAGCAAGAAAGGUAUGUAUCCCCUCAAAAGAGUACAAGUAGAAUUAGACUUUCACCAUUGUUAUCACCAUCAUCACCAUACACCAUUCAUUCGCCACACAUGCACACCUUGAUUUGACUUAUUGACUUGUUCUUCUGGAUCCAUGGUUUGACUAUGCAAUAAGUGUCUUGUAAGUAUGUAUUAGCUGUCUCCCACCUAUGAGCUCCAGAUAUCAAAACCUUAUUUGAGUAGGGUGAGAGAGAAGGCAAUACCACUAUGCCUCAUACCAAAAAUACCACAUACUUUGAGUGAAGGCAUACACCAUUACUGCCUUGGUAAGGAUCCAGAAAUACCACAAAAGAGAGAAUUGAGAGAGUCAUACAAGGAAUCUCUGAGUUUUAUUUGAAAAUCUGCAAAAACUACAGAGCUAUAGUUAAUCAAAGAACAAGAGACAUGGCGCUUGACUAGACUGUUCUAUCUUUUAACUGCUCAAGACACAAGUGACGGUUGCAAGCCCCAUGGUGGAAUGUAAAAUGAGUAAGUUUAAAUCUUAACAAUUUACCCUAACCCAGAGAUGAGAUCUUGUUUGAACGCAUGUGUAUCUUUAAGGCAUGAAACCGCUGCAGAAACUCUUGUGUCCAUCUUUUCUCAGGGAUGAGCAAAGGUUAAGAUUGGGGAAGCUUGUUGACGGUCCUUAAUGCUCACAUUUAACCGUCAACUAAUCAUGGAAAAGGAUCUAUAUGCAACCAACAUCCAGACUUUGGGUUUUAUGUGACAGAAUUCCACGAGUUUUGGUGUUUGUCUAUUUCUGCAGGGGGUUAUCAGGAAAUACGGAGGAAAGGCCCACACGUCGGGUUUACAUAGAGAUAUUAAUGUGCCGCGCAAUUUUCUAUCAUCUAGAAGCCUCCAGAAGCCACGGGAACGAAGCGGAGGCAGAACAGGGCCUGGCCUAGGGCGCCGCCCUAGAGACCAGGGCGCCCGCCCACCUUCUGUGCCCAAUCAGAGUCCUUUUCGGGGAUUAUGCUCCACCGACCUAAAGGAUCAAGGAUAACCGUUCAAUCAAUGUUGGUUUGAUCCGACGGCCCAGAUUCAUCUGAAAAGACUAUAUAAGCAAGGCCCUCUGGCCCCUGGAGAGCAUACCUCUUCUAUAGAAUCAAAGCUAGGGUUUCAAUUAUUCAUCCAAGUAGAGAGGAUCCCUCUAGUUCAUCUAGUUCUAGUUCUAGUUCCUCUAGUUCUAGUUAGUUCUAGUUGUAAUCUAGA